rnacentral:ncRNA from 2 species
GGUGAGACUAAUGAUGAUGGUUCCCGGCGGUGACAUGUUCACCUUGGGAUGAAUAGGGAAUACGGUGCGGCGAUGAAUCCAAUGCCAAAUCCGUGACUGCCCCCGCAACUGUGAGCGGUGAGCAACCUUGAACUGGCCACUGGGAGAUCCCGGGAAGGCUCAAGGAAGCUAAGACCCGCAAGUCAGGAGACCUGCCAUCUUUCUGUAACUCAA